GCAUUAAUGGGGUAAUGGUAACCUGGGUUGUUGCCAUAGGGCAAUAGUCAAUAUCUGGGACUCGACCCGCCGGGGGUUCGAUUCCCUCUUACAGCC